rnacentral:piRNA from 1 species
UAGUGAGAUAGGGAGCAUGUGCAGAGAC